rnacentral:rRNA from 1 species
CACUCCUGCGGGAGGCAGCAGUGGGGAAUAUUGCACAAUGGGCGCAAGCCUGAUGCAGCCAUGCCGCGUGUAUGAAGAAGGCCUUCGGGUUGUAAAGUACUUUCAGCGGGGAGGAAGGCGAUAAGGUUAAUAACCUUGUUGAUUGACGUUACCCGCAGAAGAAGCACCGGCUAACUCCGUGCCAGCAGCCGCGGUAAUACGGAGGGUGCAAGCGUUAAUCGGAAUUACUGGGCGUAAAGCGCACGCAGGCGGUCUGUCAAGUCGGAUGUGAAAUCCCCGGGCUCAACCUGGGAACUGCAUUCGAAACUGGCAGGCUAGAGUCGUGUAGAGGGGGGUAGAAUUCCAGGUGUAGCGGUGAAAUGCGUAGAGAUCUGGAGGAAUACCGGUGGCGAAGGCGGCCCCCUGGACAAAGACUGACGCUCAGGUGCGAAAGCGUGGGGAGCAAACAGGAUUAGAAACCCCAGUAGUCCCA